rnacentral:tRNA from 1 species
AGCAGUGUGGCUUAGUGGAAAGAGCACAGGCUUGGGAGUCAGAGAUCGUGGGUUCUAAUCCCGACUCUGCCA